CAGAGAAACCCUGUCUUGAAAAAAUAAUAAUAAUAAUAAUAAUAAAAUGCCUUCCUCUCCCAGAUUCUGAGAAAUUUAACGAAUUCUCCAGAGGUAACCCAGUCAACAAUGCUACCACCACAGACCAUGAAAACUAACUUAUUCCGUAGACAUUCUGUAUUUAUUUUGAUAGAAUUUUUAACAGUUGAACCCUAAUUUACUGGGUGUUGUGCAUGUGUUUUUUCCUGUUUGGUUUGUUUUGUGACAAGAUCUCAUGUAUCCUAGACUGGCUUCAAAGUCACUGUGUGGCCAAGGGGAGCCUUACCUCGCGAGUCUCCUUCCUCUGUCUCCUGAGGACUGGGGUUACAGCUGGGGCACCACCAUGCUUGGUUUCUGAGGAGCUUCUGAGAGCCGGACUGAACAGUGCCCUCAGAAGAAGAAAGCCACACUAGGGUCUCUCCCCAGACCAGAAGCCCAUGGUUUUCAUCUAGGCGGUAUCCAGCAAGCCUCAUCAGUCCUUCCGACUCCACCUCCACAGCACAGGCUUCUGGGCAUUCAGGGCCCCACGGUUGUACAGCAAGUACUGUUAACCACCAAGCCAUCUCUCCAGCCUUAAUCUUUUAAAUAGACCAAAGAAACUUGGCUUAGAACCUA